GACGAACGCUGGCGGCGUGCCUAAUCCAUGCCAGUCGAGCGAGCGGCGGACGGGUGAGUAAUGUAUGGGGACUGCCCGAUAGAGGGGGAUACCUACUGGAAACGGUGGCUAAUACCACAUCCUAUCGGAUAACCCAUAUGUGAUUGGCUAGUAGGUGGGGUAACGGCUAACCUAGGCGACGAUCUCUAGCUGGUCUGAGAGGAUGAUCAGCACAACUGGGACUGAGACACGGCCCAGACUCCUACGGAGGCAGCAGUGGGGAAUAUUGCACAAUGGGCGCAAGCCUGAGGCAGCCAUGCCGCGGGUAUGAAGAAGGCCUUAGGGUUGUAAGUACUUUCAGCGGGGAGGCGUUACCCGCAGAAGAAGCACCGGCUAACUCCGUGCCAGCAGCCGCGGUAAUUC
rnacentral:rRNA from 1 species